UAGUCACGGACGUAUCCGAAUGAUGGCAGUUGUGUCACUGAAACCGAAAGUAACGUUUUUUAUAUCCGCCUCCAUCGGUGGAAUCUGUCAAUUUACAGAUCACAAUUGAGAACUAUCUUUGUAAAUCAGACUAGCUGUACAUCAUAGGGUAAGGCGGAGGAUGCAUAUCCGGAGUAUGCAGAAAAUUUGGAAAAAUUCAAAGACAAAAAGAUCAAUGGGAAAUUGAUUCCACAACACAUUGUAGACUACUGUGAUGCAGCAAAGGAAUACAGAGACAUAAACUUGACAGCUGCAAAUAUUUCUGUUGAAAUAACGGUUAAAAUAGGAGACAAAAAAAUUAAAAAUGAGGAACUCAAUAAAAUUCUAGAUGUACCUAAAAAGCAAAUAGUAUCACAAAUUCAGAAAUUUUUUUCCAAAAUUUGCUAUGAAGAAUAGGUUUAAAAGAAGAUUGUGCAAAUGAGAAUUUUUGUGCAGCCCCCCCCCCACCCAUGAGUGGUGGGGGCAUAUAGAUUUGGUCUUGUCCGUGCAUCCGUCUGUCCGUCCAAAG
rnacentral:lncRNA from 1 species